rnacentral:lncRNA from 1 species
GUGCAUGCGGCUGCCGUGGGCUCUAUACGCUAUUAGCCACUGUCUGCUGCAAAGCUGGAAAUGAACAAAUUGUCCACAGGCAGAAGGGUGGUGACGAGAGGACGCUGCAGCCACAGCAGGCUCACCAGGCAGCCAUUCUGGCAGCAGGGACUCAGGUUUAUUGCCGUGGAAACGUGCCCGUGGUGUAUAUUAUCGUGUGUGAGGCAGGCCACGGGCAGCAUGUCCCAGAUGGGACCACUUCAUAAAUUCUCUCUCUCUCCGUCGCUCCAGCUUGCUAGCUCUGCAUAAGAAUAACGUGGAACAUGAUGCUUAAAAACCUGUUCGCCAACACUGAAUAGCUCCAGAGGAUGGCGGCGCCAGCGAUUUUCCUCCAUUUCACCAUUCCUUCAGGUGUUGUCUUCGUUUUUUAUGUUUUUUGCAGUCAAUGCUUAUUACUUUAAUAACUGCAAAACCGUUAUUUUUAUAUUUUUGAGUGGCUCUUCUGUGCUCAUUGCUGGAGGCAGGGGCCUGGUCUCCAGAAUGCACCCUUGACUCACCUUAAAGGAACAAAGUAUCCAUUUAUGACGUUUCUUGAGCACCUAUCAGGCUGGGCGCAGCGCCAGUCUUGUGCACAUGGCAAUCUUGAGGGCCCUGGGCUGCUGCUCUGCGAAGUCACAGUUACCACCCACAAUUCAGAGAGGCCAGGUGGCCUGCCCGGGGUCCCACAGCAGGGACCUCGCCCAGGUGGGAAGAAGGUCAUUCAUUCUCCUUUCCCAGGCACAUGAAAGAGUCGGCCAAUGAAAGAUCGCCUCUGUUGAAAACUUUGGAAAUAAAGGAAAGAACAAGGAAAAAGUCUAAAUCACCAAACAUUGCACUCUCCAGGGACCCUCUGCAGCUCCUUGGGGUUCACUGUCUCUGGCUCAUCCAUCCUGUCUGUUCCCCGAGGCAGUCUCAUCUCACUGGCCUCAGAGGAGCCGUUCGUUCACUCCGGACACAGUUUAUGAUGUUUUACCAACAAAUAUCACACCUACUGCGCAUCCAGUGUGGCCUGAGCCUCUAGAAAUUCUCUGGAGAAAAAUGGGCAAGGCAGUUCCUCCCUGAGACCCUUCCAGCCUGAGGCUGUGGAGAUAGAAGCCCAUCAAGUUGUCACGUGGCACGUGUGAAGCUGGGACUGUGGUGAGUCCUGGGACACCUGGGAACGGUGAUCUGGGCCCUAGGACAGGGGUGUCUGACCUGGUCAGGAAGGCCGGAGAGGGCUUCCCUGAGGAGGUGUCCCUGGAUGAUGACCGGAAGAAUAAAGGGGACUGAGAAAGAGUGGAGGGAAGGACAUUGUGGGCAGAGGCUGCAGCCUGGCUGAAGGUCCCCAGGCAGGAGCAGCAGGGGUUCUAAAGGUGCCCAGCAUGGUCAGUGUGGCUGGGACACAGGUGAGGGCAUGGCUGGGAGUGGACUCUGGGGACUCUGAAGGGCUACCAGCCACAGAGCCCCAGAGCAUGCCGAGCAACUUGCUUUGUCUAAGUACCUGGGAGCCAUG